ACGCUGGCGGCGCGCCUAAUACAUGCAAGUCGAGCGAGAAGGUGUAGCAAUACACUUGUAAAGCGGCGAACGGGUGAGGAAUACAUGGGUAAUCUACCAUCGAGUGGGGAAUAACCAGCCGAAAGGUUGGCUAAUACCGCGUACGCUUCCGAGUCUUCGGGCUUGGAAGGAAAGCCGCACUGUGAGUGCGGCGCUCUUUGAUGAGCUCAUGUCCUAUCAGCUUGUUGGUAGGGUAACGGCCUACCAAGGCUUUGACGGGUAGCUGGUCUGAGAGGACGAUCAGCCACACUGGCACUGCGACACGGGCCAGACUCCUACGGGAGGCAGCAGUAAGGAAUAUUGCGCAAUGGGCGAAAGCCUGACGCAGCGACGCCGCGUGGGGGGAUGAAGGUCUUCGGAUUGUAAACCCCUUUCGGGAGGGAAGAUGGAGCGAGCAAUCGUUCGGACGGUACCUCCAGAAGCAGCCACGGCCAACUUCGUG
rnacentral:rRNA from 1 species